rnacentral:rRNA from 1 species
UACGAAGGGGGCUAGCGUUGUUCGGAUUCAUUGGGCGUAAAGGGUGCGUAGGCGGCGCGGUAAGUCGGGUGUGAAAUCUCGGAGCUUAACUCCGAAACUGCAUUCGAUACUGCCGUGCUUGAGGACUGGAGAGGAGACUGGAAUUUACGGUGUAGCGGUGAAAUGCGUAGAUAUCGUAAGGAAGACCAGUGGCGAAGGCGGGUCUCUGGACAGUUCCUGACGCUGAGGCACGAAGGUCAGGGGAGCAAACGGG